CAAACUUCCCUUGCAGUUUUCCAGGAUGAGAUACCUUGCAUGAUCUGUGGUGAGACAGAAUUGGUAAUCCAUGUUUUAAGAAGGCUAUUUGCUUGCAUCCAAAGAGGAUAUAGAGGAUCUUCAACCUCUGGGACAGAUUUCAGAAGAAGAAGAAGAAGAUAGAUAGAAGAGAAGAAGAAGAUGAAGAAGAGAUGAGAGGAUUUGCAAAUGAAAACAUUAAUUCAUUCACCGUAAUCUCAAAAGAGACGUUAGUACAAUAUGUAUACAAUUGGUGUCAACGGUCAGAAGAUGUGACCUGCACCUUAUUUUGAAACAAGUAAAUUUGAAUUAAUAAUAAAAUAUAAUAUAUUGAAAGCCUGAAUAUAUAAAGGCUAUAA